CUUAACACAUGCAAGUCGAGGGGCAUCAGGAAGAAAGCUUGCUUUCUUUGCUGGCGACCGGCGCACGGGUGAGUAACACGUAUCCAACCUGCCCUUUACUCGGGGAUAGCCUUUCGAAAGAAAGAUUAAUACCCGAUAGCAUAAUGAUUCCGCAUGGUUUCAUUAUUAAAGGAUUCCGGUAAAGGAUGGGGAUGCGUUCCAUUAGGUUGUUGGUGAGGUAACGGCCCACCAAGCCUUCGAUGGAUAGGGGUUCUGAGAGGAAGGUCCCCCACAUUGGAACUGAGACACGGUCCAAACUCCUACGGGAGGCAGCAGUGAGGAAUAUUGGUCAAUGGGCGCUAGCCUGAACCAGCCAAGUAGCGUGAAGGAUGAAGGCUCUAUGGGUCGUAAACUUCUUUUAUAUAAGAAUAAAGUGCAGUAUGUAUACUGUUUUGUAUGUAUUAUAUGAAUAAGGAUCGGCUAACUCCGUGCCAGCAGCCGCGGUAAUACGGAGGAUCCGAGCGUUAUCCGGAUUUAUUGGGUUUAAAGGGAGCGUAGGUGGACUGGUAAGUCAGUUGUGAAAGUUUGCGGCUCAACCGUAAAAUUGCAGUUGAUACUGUCAGUCUUGAGUACAGUAGAGGUGGGCGGAAUUCGUGGUGUAGCGGUGAAAUGCUUAGAUAUCACGAAGAACUCCGAUUGCGAAGGCAGCUCACUGGACUGCAACUGACACUGAUGCUCGAAAGUGUGGGUAUCAAACAGGAUUAGAUACCCUGGUAGUCCACACAGUAAACGAUGAAUACUCGCUGUUUGCGAUAUACAGUAAGCGGCCAAGCGAAAGCAUUAAGUAUUCCACCUGGGGAGUACGCCGGCAACGGUGAAACUCAAAGGAAUUGACGGGGGCCCGCACAAGCGGAGGAACAUGUGGUUUAAUUCGAUGAUACGCGAGGAACCUUACCCGGGCUUAAAUUGCAGUGGAAUGAUGUGGAAACAUGUCAGUGAGCAAUCACCGCUGUGAAGGUGCUGCAUGGUUGUCGUCAGCUCGUGCCGUGAGGUGUCGGCUUAAGUGCCAUAACGAGCGCAACCCUUAUCUUCAGUUACUAACAGGUUAUGCUGAGGACUCUGGAGAGACUGCCGUCGUAAGAUGUGAGGAAGGUGGGGAUGACGUCAAAUCAGCACGGCCCUUACGUCCGGGGCUACACACGUGUUACAAUGGGGGGUACAGAAGGCAGCUACCUGGUGACAGGAUGCUAAUCCCAAAAGCCUCUCUCAGUUCGGAUCGAAGUCUGCAACCCGACUUCGUGAAGCUGGAUUCGCUAGUAAUCGCGCAUCAGCCACGGCGCGGUGAAUACGUUCCCGGGCCUUGUACACACCGCCCGUCAAGCCAUGGGAGCCGGGGGUACCUGAAGUACGUAACCGCAAGGAUCGUCCUAGGGUAAAACUGGUGACUGGGGCUAAGUC
rnacentral:rRNA from 1 species